ACAGAAGUGGAACAGCCAAAAGGAACAGAAGUUGUGAGAGAUGCUGUAAGGAAACUAAAGGUAGGGAAAGGCCUUCAAAUAAAUUACAAGUGUAUUGACUCUGUCAUGUUUUCAGCAGAUUGAUGGAGAUCAAAGCAUGAAUAGCUUUGUUGCAGUUUGCAAGACAUAUCAAGAAAUCUGAAGGCCAGAAAAUUCCUAAAGUGGAGUUGCAAAUAUCAAUUUAUGGAGUAAAAAUUCUAGAACCCAAAACAAAGGCUGAAGAGAUCACUUUAACAAUUGGCCAAGCAUUUGACCUGGCAUACAGGAAAUUUCUAGAAUCAGGAGGAAAAGAUGUUGAAACAAGAAAACAGAUCGCAGGGUUACAAAAAAGAAUCCAAGACUUAGAAACAGAAAAUAUGGAACUUAAAAAUAAAGUACAAGAUUUGGAAAACCAACUGAGAAUAACUCAAGUAUCAACACCUCCAGCAGGCAGUAUGACACCUAAGUCGCCCUCCACUGACAUCUUUGAUAUGAUUCCAUUUUCUCCAAUAUCACACCAGUCUUCGAUGCCUACUCGCAAUGGCACACAGCCACCUCCAGUACCUAGU
rnacentral:sRNA from 1 species